UACGUAGGGUGCAAGCGUUGUCCGGAAUUAUUGGGCGUAAAGCGCGCGCAGGCGGUCGCGUAAGUCUGCUGUGAAAGCUCCCGGCUCAACUGGGAGAGGUCCUUGGAUACUGGCGGACUUGAGGGAGGUAGAGGAGAGUGGAAUUCCCGGUGUAGUGGUGAUAUGCGUAGAUAUCGGGAGGAACACCAGUGGCGAAGGCGGCUCUCUGGGCCUUUCCUGACGCUGAGACGCGAAAGCGUGGGGAGCGAACCGG
rnacentral:rRNA from 1 species